UUUCUUUUCAAACCAACAAAGGAAAAACAAAAAUCAGCAACAACAAUCGACCUUCAGCCUUAACACCAGCCAAAUCCUAAUCAACGUCUUCAACAUCGUGAACCAUCAACCCGAAUCAGACCCAAUUUCAACCCACCUGCAUGUUUCCUCAACGGCGAAACCUGUCCAAAUCCAAAAUCGGACUGCUCCGACAGUUGUACCCGAUCCCGUAAUAGACCCGACUUUGACCCGUUGAGUUGGCAUGCGGAAAAGACAAGAAAUCUUCUAGAAACACGCCUAGGUGUCUCCUCCAAGCGUUUAAAUCCCUAAAAAUUUAGAUUAAUCCGUACGAUUUCGUACAUAUUUGGUAAAAUUUCAUUGGUCCUUAGGGUAAUGAUCCACUUCCCCAAUUUCUAUUGGUUGCUAUUCUGAAAUCUGUCGGGGGAAUCUAAAAUUCGGACGUUUUCAAAAGUCCCAAGAAGACCCCUAUUCAUCUCCUAUAUAAGAAGUUUCUUGUUCUUUGAGGAAGGGGGAUUUUUUUUCUGCUUCUUCCCUUUUGGAUUCGAAAAAUCAAGGUGUUUUUUUUGGAGGAUUGGCUCUAGGGUUCUAAGUUUGGGGAUGAAAAAUUUGAAGAAUUUUUUUAGGGUUCUUUGGAGGCUGGAAAUUCUAGGUUUCAAAAUUUUGGGUUUGAAAAAUUGAUUGAGAGGCUGGGGGGUACGUUUUUCUGAGAGAAAUCUUGGUUUGGAAAAAUUGAGAGAGAAGGAAGAAAGGAAAAAGAAAGGAAACUUUUGGAGAAAUAUUAACUCUUUAGUAGAAAUCCUGUUCUUGUUUUGAAACUUGGUCGAAAUCAUCGAAGUAGUAGUGAAGCUCCGGUGGUGAUCAAUAUCCUGACGAUUAACUCGUGGUCCUGUUUUGCUACUCUCCAAAAGAGAUAAUUCAGCAUACAUUGCACAUCUUAAGGAAGGAUUCAUAAAUGGAGAUAAAACGAAGCACAUUUUGCCAAAGUUUUUUUACAUACAUGAGCUACAAAAGAAUGAGGAUAUUAACGUGCAACAGAUUCGUUCAACUGACAAUGUGACUGAUUUAUUCAUCAAAUCUUUUCUAAUUGCAACUUUCAAGAAGAUGUUGUACAAGAUCGAGAUGUAAAGGUCAAGGAUGUUCUCAUUAGGAGGAGUUGAUACGCGCUAUACUCUUUUUUUCCUAUUGAGGUUUUGUCCCAUUGGGUUUCCCUUGUAAGGUUUUUAAUGAGGCAACCGAAAUGCGUAUUAUUA